UAUAAAGCAAGGGCAGUGGGUUUUUUCAUCAAUCAAUCAGUCAUUCAACAAGCAUUUAGUAAACACCUACUGUGCCAAGCACCGUGCUAGAAGCUGAGGGUACAAAGACAAAAGGGAGACGGUCCCUGCCCCAGAGGAGUUUCUAUUCCAUAAGGGAAACAGCACAUACACAUAUAAGCAAGCGUAAGAUAGAAAGACGAUAAGACAAUAAUUUCCAGGUACAAAAAAAGGCAUUUGCAGUUUGAGGUGGGAAUUAGGAAGGGGAAGGAUGACAGUGGUUCCCAGCUUCCCAGACACAGAGGACGGGGGCAUUCCAAGCAAGGGAGGCCUUGGGCACAGGUGCGAGAAGGGACAGAAUGCUGUACAUGAGUGCAACAAGAGGGCCAUACUGGCUGGAAUCCCUCAUGGGUGGAAGGGAUGGGCAAUGUGCACCCAGCCACACAUACAUAUAUGUACAUAUGUAGGUAUAUUCACACAUAUACAUAUGCACUCUACAUACAUACGUACAUAUAUAGUGAAAGCUUUUGGAACGUAGGAAGAAGUUCAAUUGUAAACAGCUUAAAAGGAACAUAGAAGAGUUUAUAUUUUUUUCCCAAAGCACUAACAAGUCACGGGGAUGAGUGACAUGGUCAGACCUGGAGUUGAGGAACACACCUUGGGGAGCUUGUGGAAGCCUGGAGGUUCACAAAAACCAGUGAAGUAGAUCCUGACCCACCCACCAUUCCCCCACCAUCCGGUGCCUUCAAGAACAUCUGAGCAAAGCUAAGCUGCCAUUUCUAGAGUGCUUUUGUGAAAUGUUUUAUAGACAUCAUUUCAUGUCAGUCCCUCAAUGACUGCAACGUGCUACGUGUGAUAUUUCCUCCAUUCUGUAGAUGUGCAGAUAGAAACUCCAAGGGAUUAAUCAGCUUGCCCAAGGCUGCAUGUGAUUGAAAUGAGGUCUUGUUGAGUCCAAACCCAAGGCUCUAUCCGCUGCCCCAAACUGCCUCUGGACCCUUGAUUGGUAUUAUGAAAGAAAGAACAUAUUGAAAGCCUGGGAGAAAUGAAUCCAUGACUAAAAAGUAAUCAUGUUUAUUGUUUUUUUUUUUUUUUUUUUUUUUAGUUUUGACAAAAUGGCACGAGGAAUGAUUAAUCAUAAGAAAAUUUUUUUCCAUAAAAGAUUACACUUUGGUGUAGUGGAUAGAGCAAGGCCUGGAUUCAAAUCCUGGCUCAGACCACUUAAUAGCAGUGCGAUCCCAGGCAAGCCUUUUCUCGUCUGUACAAUGGGAGGAUUAGAUCUGAUGACCUCCAAGAUUCCUUCUAAGUCACUAACAGCUCAUUCUCUUCUUUGCUUUCCGUCCAAAAAUCCUUCCACCAGGAGAGGAAGAAAAAGAGGUGUCUUGAGGGCAGGAACUACUCCAGGUGUUUUUGGUUUUUGUCUUUGUUACCCCCAAACCUAGCACUGGGCCUAGUACAUGGUAGAAAUGGAAUAAAUGCUUGUUGAAGGAAUGAAUGAACGAAUGAACUUCUGCCUGCUUCAUGAGGGGGGGAAGAGGUCCAUUUUAGAAAGGCACGCUUGCUGCCUCCUGAUGAAAUAUCUGAAAGAAUCUUCUCAGCCAUCUUCUAAAGGAAAAAAGUUCUGAGUCUCUAACGCCUGCCGUCUGAAAUCCAAAGGAAAUGAGGGGAAAAUGACUCUGAGAAUCCAGAGGCACACCGAGCAGGUAAGUCGGUGCCAAACUCAUUCAGAGAGGCCCCUCAUUUCCACCUCAAUCUGCAGGUUCAUUGAACCCUUUCAAAUGUGACCACGUCUGACAUGUCGACCGACCCUGAGCAACGGGACUUUGAUUUCGGCUUAGGCUCCUCUGGAAGGUUUAGCAAUCAAAGGGUUUGUGGAGCCAGGACAAGAAUUUCAGAUGACAGGUUCCUGUAGAAUUACGCGAGUGCUUUCGCCAGAUGAAUGCACCAUGAGCCUCAACUUCCAUUUCCUCAUUAAGGAUUACAGAAGUCAUUAAAAGCCUGCUCAUAAGCCAGCUGGUUCAGGUUCUCAUUGCGUGUUAUUUUCAAUAUCAUCUGCCCCUCCCCGCUUCCCUUUUGGAGUGAAAUGAAUAAGAAGCAGCAGAAAUAUGGCAAAAUGUCAUUCAAUAGAUCUUUAAGGGUCAUUCUCUUCCCUCCAAGGCCUCUUUCUCAUUUCCUACCCCUUCCUGACUCCUUGCUUUAAUGAACUUAUAACCGGAAAAAAAAAAAAAAUCUUUCUAGAGAGACAAACAGAAUGACUACAAUGUUAGAGAGAGUAGAACCGUGAUUUUAUUCAGAGGAAAUUCCUUUUAUUACUCUAACUGAUAGUUUUAAAGAAUUCUUUACAGCACUAAAAGGUUAAUUAACUUGCCCAGGAUCAUACUACUAUUAAGUUUCAGAAGCAGGACUAGAACUAUUUUUCGGAUUAGAAACCAACUUUCUCUGUCUAUUCUGUCACAUGACCUCAUUGUAAAAGAAAUAAAGUAGUUACCAAGUGCCCAUCAGUCUAUAGAGUAUGUUGAAAACUUGAGGACCCUGUCUUUAUACACACUUUUUUUUAGGAGUAGCCUUAGAAAAUCAAAAAGAGUACCACUUUUAAUUAGGCCUUUAUUUUUUAAUAGCCUGAGCAAUUUUGCAUUUUCUCCUCAUCCAUCUUCUCAUAGUAUUUAGAUCACUUUUGGUGAAUUGAACUUGUUGUGAGGCAUAAUUUGGUGAUUCAGGAAAUCACUUUGGAUACUUGUCUAGUUCUUUGUUAAUCUUUGUUGUUAAUUUGCUUUUUGGUCGUGUCUGAGUUGUCACGACCCCAUUUUGGAUUUUUUUCUGGCAUAGAUACUGGAAUGCUUUGCCAUUUCCUUCUCCAGUUCAUUUUACAGAUGAAGAAACUGAGGCAAAUAGUAUUAAAUGACUUGAUCAGGGUCACAGAACUAGUAAAAGUCUGAGGCCAGAUUUGAACUAAAGAAGGUGAGUCUUUUGGACUCCGGGUACAAUGCUCUAUCUACUAUGGCGCCACCUAGUGUCCCUGUUCUUACUGAACUACAACUACUUCAAGGAAAUUAUUCCACUUCAAUUUUAUCAUGUAUAAACUGUAAGGGUUGCAGUUCCUGAAAUCCUGGUCUCCAAAGCAGAGGGAGGAAAGGUGCUAUGCUAAAGCAAGCUCCUCAUGUUCUGAACCUAUGGAGAGGUUUGUGAUGGUUGAGAGUAUGACUUAAAAGAGUCUAAGAAAUCAAAAUUCUUGUGUCUUGAAAAACAAACAAAAAAAUACUGAAGGAAAUCAACAUUACUGUAACUAGAAAACAAAGAAGGGGUCUUCUUGGUUUUCCAAAGAAAACUGAGAUAAAAGUUGCCUCAAUACAAGUGAGCUAGAUAAUGUUGUUGAAGAUGUCGAGCUCAUUUUGCUAGUUUUUCUUCAUGAGAAUGGAAAAAAGAAAAAAAAAAAAAAAGAAUAAGGUAUUGCAGCAUUUAAAUGACCCUACCGAUGGAUCCUAUAAUAAGGGCUUAGAAAUGGCUCAAUUUCUUCACCCAGUUAAUCAAACUGAUUUAUCUUCCUAAAUAAUUGGUUAAUUGGAUCCCUCAUUAUCUAACCAGUUGUGGGGUCACAAAGACAUUAACAAAGACCAGAAAAAAUGAUAGUAGAAACCAGAAAAAGUCAAAAAGCUUAGUAUAGUUAGAACAGAGCUUAACACACUUUUCAGAAUGAGUAAAACAUGCUCCAAGGAAGAAUUAAGUCUGCCCCAUGUUAAGAGUUGAAUGUGUUUCAUUUACCAAAUACUCAUUCACAAAAAGUAAGUAGGAUUAAACUAUCCAGCACAUAUCUUGGCAAUGUUGACAUCUGAUAGUACUCUAUCUUUGAACAAUUCUCAGUUUAAGGACAGCCUCAGGAAUCACUGAAAUGUAAAGGUCCUACCCAGCUUUCUGACUGCAGGGAAACGAUUCAUAUCAGUGUCAUUAUUGACAAUAACACACGUGAGCACUUCACUAACAAUGUGACUCACACUAAAUGAAUGAGUUAAUAAAUAUUUAAUACUUUGUGCUAAUCACAGUGUUAAGUGUUAGGGAUACAAAAACAAAAAGCAGACAACUUGAAGAUGAGGUUUGAAUGAUUUCCUAAUUUGAUCUAUGGAGGGUUCUAGAAUUUGGCUUAGAUAGAGCCCAUCAUUUCCUUUUGCCUGUCCCCUCGUGUUCCCCCUUUCCUCCCCUGACCUCUGUGUGUGUGUGUGUGUGUGUGUUUAACAUACAUUUGACUUGAACAGAAGUUGCCUUAGAAAAAGGAAUGCAUGUUUAAGGAUCAUUCAUAUUUCCAUUUGGCUCAAUUUGUUAAGACCUAUAAAAGAUUAGGAAAUUUUCAACUUAUCUAAUCUGAUGGCAAACACUUUUCUUUUAAGUUCUGAUUUCUAAAGUACGAAGGAAGAAAGGCAGCUGUUAUGGAAACUUUUUAUGUUUUUUUUUUUUUAAUUUUUCCUAAAAGAAUAAUAGUUUUUUUUUUUUUUAAGUGAUCAAAUAAUGGCAAGGAUCAGAUACAAAAAUUUUAGGAAAAUCUCUCCAGAUUUUUUUCAAAUCGUUUCCAAGACACCUCCCUUUUCAUCUAUUCAUGUCACAGAUAAAAACUAGCUAAAUUCAGCCAAGUGUGUUAAUGGAAGUUUAGCUGGGAAUGCUGUCUCUGAGGAACAUUUUAUACCCACUGCUGAAAUAGCCUUCUCAUUAGCCAAGAGAAUUCUGAAAGCUUUCCAUAUCUGGAAAAAAACCCACGUUCUUUCUCUCUCUUUCUCUUCUCUUCCCCCCUCCCCGAUCUUUUUGUAUCUCUCUCUCUCUGUGUGUCUGUCUGUCUCUCUCUCUGUGUUCUCCCUCUGUGUCUCUGUCUCUCUCUCACAUAUCUUCAGCACUUAGUGCCUGACACACAGUGAGAUCUUAACUAUUUUUUCAUUCAUCUUAUUCCUUCUUUUUUCCCCUCCCUUUUUUCCUCUCUUCUUCCUUUUCUUUCUCCCUCUUUCCCUGCCUCCUUUCCACCCUCUCUCUUACUUUUCUCUCUCCCACCCUACUCCCCAUUUUUUCGUUGAUUCCCAAACAAUGUAAUCUUCGCCUGUACACUCUCAGAAACGUCAAGGUCAGUCCCCCAUGCCUGUGUCUUUCAUGCUUUUGUUUAUGGGAAGGAGUUCAAAGGAGAGGGUGGAAUGUCAGGCCUUUCUCAGAUGAUGUAUUAACACUUUACACAAACCUUGGUUCAAGAGUUAGAAACGCCUCCUUUUCAACUAAACUCAAGGCUGCUGGAAACAAAAGUUAAUGGUGAGUCUCCUGUGACCUUAUUCAGCACCAAAGCCUUCCUUGGAUUUCAAUGGGAGCUCCAGAAGGGGCUAAUUGCCGGCUUGGAAUUUCCUGCUGGUACUUCUACUGUUAGUUUUGAUUUCUUCAAUAUUACUUAGGCUGGUUACGGUUAUCUUUUAGCAAUAGGAGUACAGUCUCAAGUUGUCUAUGUGCAGAAAAAGGGGAGGGGACAGGAAUAGCCUGAGUCAUACGGAAGGUCCAGGUGACCUAAGUACUUUGGGGAUGAGAAGAACAUAAGGAUAUGCCAGAAUUUUAAUAUAUUUGGUCAAACAGGUAGCUUAACAGGAAGGAAUUGGGGUGUGGAUUGGGUAAGGGAGUAACAGGAAACUGGGUGUAAAUUUUGGGAAAUGAGAAUUGUCUUGCACCCAUUAUUUGGUGGGUGACAAACUGAGUCAGCAGGAAGGAAGUUCUGAUGGAAAGUUACGGCAUUUUUGUCACAGUUGAAAGGCACCUGAGGCCACCUAAUACAACCUCAAUCAGAAUCAGAAUCUCAACGAGCACCUACUCAGUCUUUGAAGACUUCCAGGAAGGGGAAGGCAAUUUGUUCCACUUCUGGUCAGUUCUAAUUAUUAAGGCUUUUGAUCAGUCAAAGUCUACAAUGAUUCUCCAUCCAGGAAGAUAUUCUUGUACCUCUAGUCUAUCUGUGCUGUUACCAGGGAUGAAGCCACACAACAUAUGCUAUUCCUUCCUGGAACCUCAAAGCCCACUGACGACACCAUGAAACUACCUUGAUGGACCAUAAAGGCAAGUGAUUCUGAGAAGCCAGGCAUAGUAUCUGGGGGAGCAAACAGACCCGAGGCAGGCGAAGAUACAAUAUGCUCACAACAUUCUCCUCUCGCUGAGGAAAAGCAGGUGGGUGCUGUUAUUAUCCUGUUACAGAUGAGGAAACUGAGGCAAAUGAAAGUUAAGGAACUCCACUCAACUAUCUGUGCCAAGAAAAUCCCAAAUGGGGUCAAGAAGAGUUGGAAACAACUAAAAUGACUCAGCAACAACAACAACCACAACCAAAAUCACCCAGGAUCACUUCGGUAACUGGCAAAUGGAAAAGAGAGACUGAGGACAAGAAAUACUUCAGAAGACUUUUUGGAGACUUUAUAUACAGAAAAAUUGCUCAUGGCAACCCACAUGAAGCAGCAGAUCGCUACAGCCCUGAGCUCCUCCAACAGACCAUCCUUUGAAUGAAUCAAAUGACUGCCACCAAUUAAGUGCUCCCUGACCUCUGCCCUAUAAAAUGGAGAGGGAACAAUUUUGAGUCUUCAACUAUCUGAGGACAUUUGCAAUACACGAGCAGACAAAGACCUCCUCUCGACCAAGGGAGAUCAUGUCUUCUGUCGUACUCAGCAACGUGACCUCUUGGAGUCCCAGUACCCACUCCACAGAAUACGGUACCUUUUUCUUGAUAUGAAAACACCCUAAUAAAAGCGAGACAGGCAGUGUAGGAGAAUGGUUAGAUGGCCAGUCAUGGACAUAGAAAGAGUUUUAAGUCCUGGCUUUGACAUGUACUGAUUGUGUGACUGUAGACAAGUCAUUGGUAGUUCCAUAAAUAGAGGGCUAGACUUGGAGUCGGGAAGACCAGAGUCCCUCAGACCCGUAUUAAGUGUGUAACCCUAGUCAGGUAACUUGACUCAGUUUCCUCAACUAUAAAAUGGGAAUAAUAAUGGCACCUAUCUUCCAGGAUUGUCUUGAAGAUCAAAUGAAUUCAAAUAAAUUACUUUAUUUGUAAAGAGCUUGCUAGAACAGUGCCUGAUACAUAGUUAUAUAAAUGACAAUUAUUAGAAUGUUUAUUUUAUAAGUAACAUUGAAGCUUUAAGCAUGGGAUCAUAAAUCUACAUCUUCAGAAUGAGCAAAAGGCCUUGUGAGCUUGGAACUUCCUAGUGACUGGCCAGCUUCAAGGGUCAGUGUCGUUUCCAGUGUAGUUCAUGCUGAUUACUAAUCCUAGACUGGCUCCCUACCAACCACCAUUAUUCAAAUUGUCUUUUUUUUUUUUUUUCCUUUUUUGCAAGUCAGUUGUGGUUAAGUGACUUGCCCAGGAUCACACAGUAAGUGUCAAGUAUCUGAAGUUGAAUUUGAACUCAGGCCAACUGUCUUAAGAGAAAUCAGGAAAUAAUACAGAAUACACCAACAGAAUGAAAGAACCUCAGAGUUGCAAGAGGCCCCAGAGAUCUCCUAAUUCCACCCAUGGCUGAAAGAAUACCUAUUAUGACAGUGGUCGUGCUUUCUCUGCUUGGAAACCUCCAUCAAGGGGGGAUUUCCCCAUGACCUCUCCAGGCAGCUUUGUUCAAUUCUGUUCCAAUGGUGAGGAAGAUUGCCCUGACAAUGAGCCUAAUGGAAUCUGAUAGUACAGGGAGUGAUGAGAAAGAUGAAUUUCAAUUUCUUUGCUUUCAUUUCAUUAUUAUCUUCUGAAGAAACUUCUUGGUGGCAGACACAGAGAGAUUAGGUGUCUCGCCCCAAUUGCAAGAGGAAAGAAGCAGCAGUCUUAUUGUGAAGCUGGAGACUUCUCUAUUAGCCUAUAAGUACCCAAAGUCCAAUGUGAAUCAAAAUAUUAAUAAUAUGCCCCCUUUGGAGGCAGGACUCAAAGGCAGAGCUUCUAGUGCUGUUCUAGUCACCAAAGUCCAAUGUAAAUAAAAAUAAUAAUAUGCCCCUUUUGGAGAUAAGACUCAAAGGUAGAUCUAUCUUCCUAGCACUAUUCUAGCCACCAAAGUCCAAUGUGAAUAAAAAUAAUAAUAUGCCCCUUUUGGAGGCAGGACUCAGAGGUAGAUCUUCCUAGCUCUGUUCUAGCCACCGAAUAUCAAUGUAAAUAAAAAUGAUAAUAAUAGGCCCCCUUUGGAGGCAGGACUCAGAGGUAGAUCUUCCUAGCACUGUUCUAGCCACCGAAGAUCAAUGUAAAUAAAAAUAAUAAUAUGCCCCUUUUGAGGUAGGACUCAAAGGUACCUAGCACUGUUCUAGUCACCAAAGUCCAAUGUGAAUAAAAAUGAUAAUAAUAUGCCCCUUUUGGAGGUAGGACUCAAAGAUAGAUCUUCCUAGCACCAUUCUAGCCACUGUGCCAGGCUGCUUAAUUUAAAGAUCAUUUUUUCCAGGCUACAAUUUUUGGAGGUGAGAAAACUGAACACCAAAGAGAGUGAAGAGUUUGUUUAUGAGACAGAGUCAAGAAUCCAAGCUUGUCCUUGAGAGACAGUGUGGUAUAAUGGAUAGAGAACUACCAAUCUAGUGUCAGAGGAACCAUGUUUAGAUCUGACCUCUCUGGACUGCAGGAGUUAUUUUUUUCUCCCUUUAAAAUAUGGGAUAUGUGUAUGUGGGGAGAUCACAUCUUCUAAAUUUAUGAUUCUAUGACAAAUAGAAUUCAAGGUUGGAUACGACAUUAGAGGUCAACUAUCUCAAUGUACUCCUGAAAAACCUGGUUAAUUAUAUUGACUUGAGGGUUUUUCUAAAGUUUAAAAAAAAAUAUGAUUAAAACACUUGGGGGAGAUAGUGAGGCUGUCACACACUCAUAGAAUAAGGAAACAACAUCAUCGAUUGAGAAAGGUCAGGAGUUACUGGCCCACAGAGAGUGGGAUCCCAAGUGAGGAGCACUAUAGGGAAUCAGUUUUUACAGGGCUCAUCCUGGAAUGGGCUAACCACCACACACCCUCAGAGCUCUCCCUGACAUCAUAACUACCAUCUACAUCAUCAAACGGUCCAGGACAUUCCCAAGUAACAAGAGGCCAGCCAAGAAAAAAAUGACGGCGUCCCUGAGAAAGACAAACACGGCCCAGAAAGUCGCCAGUUGGCCAGGCAAGUGUUUUUUGUUUUCUUUUUAAACUUAAGGAAAACAAACAGCACUGAUUUUUUUCUUCCAUACUCCCUCCAGUUUUCAAAGGCAUCUGGACCUUGACCUGGUUGUUACGGAUAAAGGAGAGUACUUUGUAUACAGCCAAAUAUUUACUGGAAGCUGCUGGCAAGACUAAGAAUGAGGGCUUGGCUGUCCCUGGGAAAAAAGGCAGCAAGAAGCUCCUCAUUCCCCAAGGGCUAAGGAUGAGACAAUGGAUGGAGCUCAGAACCUGGAUAGAAGACCUGAAUAACUCAUGGCAAGUCAGUUUGCUCAUCAGUAAAAUGGACUAGAAAAGGAAAUGGCAAAGCACUCCAGUAUCUUUGCCAAGAAAAAACCAAACAGGGUCACACAGAGUCAGAGAUGACUGAACGAUAACCACUAAAGAUCAAGAACAAAAGACCAAAGAGAUGUCUCCUCUACUAUAGACAUAGAAGAAGAAAGCUUACAGAGUUGGGGGUUUUGGGCAAAUGGGGAAAAGGACUGGUGUGAGUCAGGUACACUAGAGAGAAAGGGUGGAAGAAAGACUCAGUGGUGUAAUGUCCUUUAUAACCACCUCACAGACUAUUGCUUGGCAGAGUUCGGUGGGAAAGGACACUGGAUUCGAAAUCUUAGGAUGUGGGUUCCAAAUCUGACCCUGUCACAUGCUGGCUGUGGGAUUCUGGGCAAAUGACACCUUCCAGAUCUCUGAGCAAGAGCAGAGGAGAGGGACUAUUCCUACCUGGGAGUUCCCUACAUCAAUAAAACCUCAGGUCUAGUGCCCAUCUCCUAGGAUAGUCACCAUUUUGACGACCAUUCAUCCCCUUCUAAACCAUUUUUCACUGAGAAGAGUUAGGGAGAAGAGUAGUUAAAGGCAUAAUGAAACAAGAAAGGGAAAGGGUCAGGAAGAGAGGAAUUCGAGAUGUCAGGAAACUGGCUGCCUUUCCAAAGAAGAACCUUGAAGCUCCUGACCUCCCAAUGACUCUUAAUUCAAGUGCUGAAUCUUCAUCUCAACUCGCCACCCACAAGCAGAACCACGCCAAAAAUCACACCAUCAUUGACCUCUGAGUGCCUACAGUGAUGUCCUUGCUCUUCCACCUUUCCAUCUCUCCCAUUGACUCUUUGCCCCCUUUGGGACCUUAUCUUCCUCUCCUUGCUUUACUUGGCUCCCUACCUGGCCGAGCCCUAGUACUUAGUCCUUCUAAGUCUUACUCAUUAGGAACCUAGAAUCCUUUAAUUGUGUUUGUUAUUAAUAUUCUCUACUGUCCACCUCUAUUCACCUCCAACCUUGGGUGUCACACACUCCUCUGCCUUCUUCCUCUUACCCUUGGACCACCUAAAACCCCAUUAGAAGACUGUUUAAUUCAUAUUAGACACAUUUUUUCCUCCUGCUUUAAAGGAGCCCAUUCACUGCUUACUUGUCAUUGACAUUAAUUUUUAAAGGGAACACUUUUAAUAAUCCCCACCCUUCUUUAUCUGUCAUGGUGCAGUGGGAAAGAACACUGCAUUUAAAACAUUACGGCUCAGACUCCAGUUUUGGCUCUACAACCUGUAGACUUUGAACAAAUCAAUUAUUCAACUGAAUUGAGGGGUUGCCUUAAUGAUUUCUAAGACGCUUUCUAGCUCUAUGACCUGUGUCAGAAUCAAGAUGAAAAACAAAAAAUCUAACCUUAACUUUGGGAUAACAUGGGAAGUUACUAACUUCCUGUGGUACUCACACUGUACUAAUUAACAAAGGGUAAGUAUCCAUUUGUGAAUACAGUCUCUCUAUUUUUCAUAACUAUAUUCACAAAUGGGUACAUUCACCAUUUAUUAAAUAGUACAGUUGUAAGUAUAAUUUGACGUAUACAUCAUGGAACUACAUGAUGAAAGAACAGGAAGGGAUUUUGGCAGUCUUUGGUUGGAAAUCCUCCAUCCUUUCAAUGAUUCCUAUAAUUUAGAUUUAGGGUACUAAAGAGAUACGUCACAGGGUCUGGAUUUGUUUCUUGGGUUUGCCACUUAAUACUCAUGUGACCUCACAGGUUAUUUUAGUUACUUCAUCUAUAAAAUGAAAGGAUUGGACCAGAUAACCCCUAAAAUCACUUCAAGAUGCAAAUUUUGGUGAUCUGGUUGAUUUUACUACAAAGUCAAUUUCCAAAUUUCGAUGGCAAUGUACACUGAGAAAGCAGGUAUGGAGUUGGACAAAUAUUAAGCCCUGAUGCACUCAUGAAUGAGCAUAGGUUUGGGUUAUAUAUGAAUGGAGUUGUAACUAGCCUGGGCAAACUGGGCUUUGCCCCAGGUUGCUAAAAUGUGGAGCAUGUUCUUUCUUCUAUAAUGUCUGACAUUCCUGCUAACUCACACACAGACAUCUGAAGCCACUGAGCCUGGGCAGAGACCGUUCGGGUUACCUCACUGGAGUGUCCCUCCCCUUUCCAGAUCUACCUUGUUUCUUAACCCCUUGAAGGUAUUGAGCACUCUCUCCCAAAAUAACCACACUUAACUCAAACCAAGCUGCCCUAAGAUGCAAAUAGUCCUAGUUACAGCUCUGGAUAUGGAUAUAUUUUGGUGGUUUUCCUAACUAAAAUCGGGGGACCCAACCAAUGUGUAAACAAGAUUCUGGCCUUGUCUCUAUUCCCCAAACUCUAAAAGAGAACAUAUAGCAGAUGAAAGAAUUUACUUUUAAAAAUUGUGUUAAGAGACCAGUUCAAUCCUCAAGUAUUUUUUUCCCAUAUCUUUUUUGAAACUAAACAGACACAAUGGACAUGUAAAACUUGUUACUGGCCAGAUUUGUCUCCCACUGUGACAUCAAAAAUAAUAACCUUACUUGUCUAUUUUAUUUUCCAUGGCUAAAAGGGGAAAAGUCCACUAGAAUCAUCUUUCUCCACAUCUCUCAACUCUUAAAAAAAAAAAAAAAAGCUGGGGGGAGAUGUAGCAUCUUCAAUCACAAGACCUCUCUAAAACAUAGCUUAUCUUUUUGGCCCACUGGAGAGCUCAAUCAGGCAGUGCUUCCCCAGAGAUUGCUUCCCUGAGAAACUUGACCUGUGAGCUCCCACAGAAGAGGAAAGUAGUUUUCUAAUAGCUGCUCUGACCUUCCCACACUUACAUUUGGCCCAGAUUGACUGUGCCUGCUGUUCUAUCUUCUCAUAUUGUCUGUACUGCUCACCCCCUCAAGAGUGUCCUCCAGCUUUCUGCAAACAACAGCCCCCUCACCAAACCUCCCCGUCCAGAAGCUAGCAAAGGCAAAGCUAAUUAUUAAGCCUUGGAUUAGCCAAUUUGGAGACCCUAAAUAAACCGCUGUAAUUUUUUUAUUAAAUAUUUCGACAAGUGGAAAGCUUUCUGCUUGGCUGGUUCAUUACCCAUAAAUGCUCUCUCCCUACCUACCUUGAGAGGGAGUAUGGAUGGAUUGAGUUAUUAAGCCCAUGCCUCCUCUGUUACCAAGAAUGGUUCUAAUCAGUCUCCUCAAUUUCCCAUUUCUUGGCCUGUCUAUUUAUUAAAUUUCCCUGAGACAUCACUGUAUGCUUUACGAGUAAGGUGCCUACUAUGUUGGGCCCUUUCUUUUGUCCUUCCCAUUGACCACCAUAAAGAAAAGACAAUUCAUUGAUUCUAGUUUUUUUAUUGGCAUUAGUAAAAUAGUCAGAUUGGGGGUAGGGCUGGGAUGAGUCUCCCUGGAUGCCAGAGAGAACAUUCAGUUCAGGAUCAAAGACCUUCCACCAUUGACAAUGGAGAUGAGUAAAUCAUAUUUAUUUAGCCUUACAUUUAUUUUCAACCCUCUGAUCCUUUGAUGCUUUUGCUUUAUGAGAUGCAACAAAAGCAAGCCAUUCUAUUGGUUCUCUAGGUUUUGGAAAGGCCACAUGAUCUCAUUUAUGCAGGACUGCCCCUAACUUACAGGGAAAUACUAUGGGCAAAUCCCCUUUCAAAAAGGGUAUCAAUCUAAGGAUGGCUUCCUACAGAGUGCUUGUAGGCUUUAAUACUCUCUAGACCUGGUUUUGUCACAGGAUCAUUGGCUUAGAAUUGGAAGGGACCUUGGAAGUUAGGAAGUCCAAUCUGUAUUUUAUAAUAAAGGAAAAUGACUAAGGUCACACAAACAGUCAAUAGCAGGGCUGGGAUUUGAAUCUCUGCCUUUGAACUGAGCAUUUUUCGCCCUGCUGCCCUCUAUCACAUUCAGUCAGGCCAUAAACUUUUAUCUAUCUAUUUAUCAACCAAUAAGUAUGUAUGAAGUUCCUUUUGUAUGACAGACAUUAUGUUAGGUGUUGUAGAUACAAGGACAUAUACGUGCUAAUGAUAAUCUGCCAUUUUUUUUGGGGGGGGGUAGAGGUUAGAUCUCAAUAGUAAAAUCCAAAUGUCAUUUCUCCUUUAUUUUUCUCUAAACAGCAUCUGAAUCUCAUUAGUUUUAGUUUAAAUAAGGGGUGGAAUGAGAAUGGGGAGACGGUAUAGCAAUAAUAUCAAGCUUUUCUUCUUCCUUCCCUUCUCUGUCCCAAUCAAACGCAACUUUUCACGACUUCCCUUCCCCAACUCCGGUCUUUUUCUUCUUCCCAGCUCAGCUUGGACUAAACUGCUUACCCCUCCCACUCGACAUUCCAAAAUUCUUCUGUGUUCCCAUUGCCUCCACAAAGGCUAUCCCAGUGACGUGAAUCAGCAAGCAAACACACUCCCCCUCAGAGUCAAACAACCAACCUCUCUCCUCCAGCCUACUUACAACUGCAAAAAUAGAAAAAUGCAGGCGGCGGGGCUGGGGGGUGGGGAGAGGGAUACCAGAGAGGCUGCCAUGAAAUGUCACUUUGUGGGAGAGAGGGACUGUGCCUUUGAGAUGUAUGUCAUUGUCGUAGGACCUCAGAAAUACUCGACUGCUAAAUUCUGACAAAUUAUACCUGAUCUAAUGAAAUUGGGGCCAUAUGCUAGAUAGAUUGUAAUGGAGUUAAAGCUUGAAGAUUCUACUAACUUGAUAGUAAAUUCUACAAACAUUGAUUGAACACCUAGAUGGAGGGGACUGUACUGGGGAUAUAAAAAUGAAUAAAGCAUGAUGUCUUCAAGGAGCUUUCAA